rnacentral:rRNA from 1 species
CCUACGGGAGGCAGCAGUGGGGAAUAUUGGGCAAUGGGCGCAAGCCUGACCCAGCAACGCCGCGUGAAGGAAGAAGGCUUUCGGGUUGUAAACUUCUUUUCUCAGGGACGAAGCAAGUGACGGUACCUGAGGAAUAAGCCACGGCUAACUACGUGCCAGCAGCCGCGGUAAUACGUAGGUGGCAAGCGUUAUCCGGAUUUACUGGGGGUAAAGGGAGUGUAGGCGGGAAAGCAAGUCAGAUGUGAAAACCAUGGGCUCAACCUGUGGCCUGCAUUUGAAACUGUUUUUCUUGAGUACUGGAGAGGCAGACGGAAUUCCUAGUGUAGCGGUGAAAUGCGUAGAUAUUAGGAGGAACACCAGUGGCGAAGGCGGUCUGCUGGACAGCAACUGACGCUGAGGCGCGAAAGCGUGGGGAGCAAACAGGAUUAGAUACCCCUGGUAGUC